AAAAUAAUUUUUUAAAUGAAUUUAAAAUAGAUUUAGAUAUAUAUUUUUUUAAUUGAAUUUGGAUAUAAAUUUUCUUAAAUAGAUGAAAUAUCUGUGGUCAUUCUUAAUCUUGUUGGGUUAAAAAAAAAAGACUAUUGAAUUAGCUUGCAAAGAAAAAAGAAAAAAGAAAUGUUGUAGAGGGCAUAUGUGCAAAAUUUCUGGACAGAAAUUAAUUAACCUCACAGAAUAAUUAACCUCACAUAAUAAAGAUCCGCAUUUUCAAAACUUUGACAAAAGACCCACUCCGCUAGCAUCGGCGAUUAAAUGCAAGCAACCACAUUAGAAGAAUAUGCCAAUCGCUAAUAAAAAGUAAUUCAAAUUAGAAGAAACUAGCCGUUGGGGCUCACAAAUCCAAAUGGUAUAUAUAUUGGAUCACAACACAAGUUGUCCAUUUUUCUUCAUAGAAAGACAAACAAAUCUCUUCUUCUUCCUCCUCAAUUCUCUCUAUUUCUCUCUCUAAACGCUCCUCCCUCUUUCUCUCUCUUAAUGCUCCUCUCUCUCUCUCUUUCAAUGAUCUGUAUUGUACUUAUCUUAAGAAUUCCGUGAGUAUUAUUUUUAUUUGUUGAAUUUAUUUCCUUAAAAUCGAAGCUUUAAAUGGUUACAAAUUGAAGGAAAUGCUGUGUUUCAUGAUCUUUUCCUCUAUGUAAAUUGGAUACGAUUAUUUUAGAAAUGGCAGGUUAUACUUACCAAAUGAUUUGUCUCUUUGUUACUAACUUUCCUUUUACUUUUCCUUUAAAAACUUUUGGUGCUGUUUUGUUAUAUUAGAUGCUAUUUUCUUUCUUUUUCUUCUUAAAUUUUCUUGCGAUUGAAUUAAUUUCUUUAUUUGAGACGAGUUUAUCGAUUGCUUAGUCUGGAUCUGUUGCUACUGCUUAUCAAAAUUGUAAAUUAUUAUGAUAAUUAGACAACAAAGGAGGCUUAUUAUUGGUGGAAAAUAUAAAUCACUUGAUUUUGUAGUUUCCUUUUAUAACUUCACUAACCGAACUUUGAGUACUGGCCUGGGUGCAGACCCCGCAGAGAGACUUUACGAUUAAGAAUUUUUUAUUAGAAUGUCAGGGACCUGCUGAACUCAGAAUCAGAAAGGUGCUGUGGUCGAGAAGUUGGUAGAAGAAACAACAACCAAUGAUUAGCAUUUGAGGCAUCUUAUAAGUAUGUGUGACUAGUGAAGAACUGUAUUUUUGCAUUGGCCUUUUUGAAAUCACCCAUGAUUUUCAGAAUUUUGUAGACCUUGCUGGAAGUGAAAGAGCUUCACAGACACAUGCAGAUGGGGCGAGGCUCAGAGAAGGCGAUCAUAUCAAUUUUAGUUUGAUAACUCUCACAACUAUGAUAAGAAAUCACAACUGUGAUAAGAAAGCUCAGUGUUGCGAAAAGAAGUGGUCAUGUACCCUACCGGGACUUCAGCUUCCCGGCAAGUUUUGGAAAAUGAGAUUGAAAACAGAGCACCGGAAAAUGAAGACUUCAUUUCAUAUCCGGUGAGACCCAGCCAGAGCCUGUGAAAGAGACUUCUACAAUAUGUGGAGACGUUUCAUCAAAGGAAGGAACUCCAGGCUAUCGUCAUUCUAUUUCAAUUAAUACGAAGAAAAUGCAGAAGGUGGUUUAGAAUGCAGCAGAGGAGAAUGUGAGAAGCAUAAGAGCUUAUGUGACAGAAUUGAAGGAACAUGUUGCCAAACUGCAAUACCAAAAGUAGCUACUUGUUUGCUAGGUCAUUAAGCUGGAAGCAAAUGAAGCGGCAUUUGGCAGAAAUUGGUAAUUCAAGCCCUGCUCCUCAUGUUGGAGAUGAGCUUACAAUUUCUAUCGUCAAGCUCGAGCAAUGAGACGUGAAAGAGAGUUUCUGGCAAAGAGGUUGACUUCACGUUUAAAUGAAAGUGCUGAGAUAGUGGUAAAGCUUGUAGGAUUCUAUGAGAAUUCCAUUUGAGCUAAAUUUUGCACUACCAAUAGAUAACAGACCCUGGAUUAUGGGGUGGAACCCAAUUUCAAACCUUUUACAUUUCUGACAAUUACAUUUUUCAUUUGUAAGUAUUUCCUAUUUCUGUACUCGUAAAUGAAUUUUAGAGGUUUUUUCUCCAUGCAUCAUUUGUUUAUAUCUUUACUUUUGCUCAAAUUAUGAUGUGACCAAUGCGCAUGGAUAUGGCAAUCUUAAUAUUUUAAUAACAAAAGAAUUGAUUUA